AAACCCAACAAGCUCCAAACCAGCAACAAUCUACAGUCCUCCACUCCAGCUACCGCCUUACCUCCACCGUCACAUCAGAGACGAAUCUAGAGGUAGUCUGUCCUUCAUCUCUAGCUGGGCUCCUCAGCCAUCCACUCAUUGCUCCUGAUGUCAGAACUCUCCUUCCCUGGCUCUGUGCGUGGCACGUCUGGUCUCAGCCCAAGUGUCACCUCCUCUGGGAGGCUGCAGUUGGCAGAAUAAUGGCCCUCAAAAGAGGUCCAUGACCUACUGCCCGGAGCAGAUGAAGAUGUCAGGUUACACCACAGAGGGGAGGUGAGGUGACAGAUGGAAUGGAAUGAAGGCUGCUAAAAAUCAGCUGACCUUAAGAGAGCGAGCAUAUGUAGCCUGCAUCGUCCAGGUGGGCCCAGUGUAAUCAUGAGGGUCUUUGUAAUUGGGGGAGGAGGCAGAAGAGCACCUGUGAAGAGAGAAAGACUCCACCAGCUGUUGCUCCCUUUGAAGAUGGGGGAAGGGGCUGAGGGCCGAGGAACACAGGAUGCUGUGGAGCCUGGCAAAGGCAAAGAAGAGAGCUUUCUGGACUCUCUCUGGCAGCCCUGCUGGCAUCUUGACUUUGUCCACUGAGAUCCAUUUCAGACUUCUGAACUAUGGAAGUGUAAGAUGAUAAAUCCUCAUUCUUUUAAGCUCCUAAGUUUGUGGUUACUUUUACAGCAGCAAAAGGAAACCAAUAGUGGCCUGAUCAUCUGAUCUAAAACCAUGUGUGGCAACAUACUGAUGGAUGACACCUACCUGGCGGUGAGGGGGACCACCCACCCUCGUUGUUGCUGGAACUGGAGAACUGGUCCAGCCUCCUUGAAGCACAACACUCGCUGGGUGAAAAGCCUUGGACUCAGCCCCUCCUCCUAUUUACCUGCAUAUUCUCACACCUGUGAAAUAACCCAAAGGCAAGCGGUGGAGUUUACUAGCAAAAGAGUAGAAACAGCGUCUGUCGAUUGUAUAGAUUGCAAUACAGCCACAAAAUGGAACACUAUGGAGCUAUUAGAAAGUCAGCUCGCUCUUUAUGUACUGGCAUGGAAUGAUUUCUGAGAUGUUUUUUGAAGACAAUGAGUCCAGGUGGAGGAACGAGUGAGUAGCAGGCUAUCACCUGUGUCAGGAAGGGAUGGAGAGGUUCCAUGUGUAUUUUCCCGUCUGUGGAUGGCCUGUCUGUGGAGGUGACACAAGGAACGUGAUGUGGUUUGUCCUUGAGGAGAAUAACGAGAAGCUCUGAGGAUGCUGGCAGGGGGAGUUUUCAUUACCCUCCUACCUUUCACUUAAUGCCUUAAAUUCUUCUGGAAAACCAUGCUGUUAGGUUAAAAGCCAUUACACCAAAAUUAUUUUCAUUGUUUUUAAUGGCGAAUCAUAACGUCCUCCAUCGUGACCCAAGACAGCAAUUUGCACAGUUGAAAAAACAUUUCGAUGGAAUAUUGGAAACAAUUUUAGAUAUGUAGUAAACGACAGUAAAGAAAU
rnacentral:lncRNA from 1 species